GUCCUUUGUUUUUCUUUUUGCACGUUUAAAAAGAAGAGGGAGGUUUGAAAAUAAAAAAUUACCAAUAAUAAAAGCAGGAACUAUUAGAAGCAGAGACUCGAGACUACGUCGUAAAACGAUUCAAAGUCACGAAAACAAAAUUUUCCAUGGAAAGCGGAAGAAAGAAAAGCAAAGAUUAAAUAGAGAAGAAUUGCACAUUGUGAACGUUACCUUUUGCGAGCGAAUAAAUCAGCCCACAAAAGUAUCGCAAGAGAUUGAUAAAUCGCCCUUCCCAUAAAAAUACCGGGCCAGCAACAUUCUUAGCUUUUAGCUGUCACACACCAACCGUGAGUAUAGAUAACCUGUCUGGUGUAAGUGUAACAACCAUCAAGGAUGUUUGGCGGUGCAAGGCUGCGUCCGGUCAUCCGGUAAGUACUUUAGUCCGGUGGCCGAAUAUACAGCGACGUGCCGGCGGGUGCUGACGGGUUUCUGGAAAUCACGUCUGGCAAUUUCACUGUAAUCCGGCUACCUGGCAAACAACCGAGAAAGGACGAACGGAGAAGGUUUGCACCCAUAAUUUACGAUGAGUGGUGUCUCGGGGAGUGGCGCCGAGCUGCUUUUCUUUCCCUAGCAGCGUGUAUGAAAAGAAAAACCCUGAAUUGCGCAACGUCUCGUAGUUGUUUUGAGUUCAAAACUUGGGAGAAGGAAGCAAGAGACAUAAUUGGGGGUCAGCUUCAUCCAUUGCGCCAUUUCGUUUGGCGUCGAUCCUUUUCUGCACUUAAACUAUUUCUGCAACUACUUCCUCACGAAGGCGAAUUCCUUUCGAGCAGUAUCUCUUUUCUUUUGAAGAGAAAUAUUUUCGUGAUUGGAUAUGCAAAUAAAUCAAACCACUAUGUUCAAACUAAGGAGAAGAUUAUCAUUAAAAGCACGAAAACGAAGAAGAGGAAGACCGACCAAUUUUUACCACGAAAAUCAACCGCCAUUAAGAGUCGUUCACCCUUGACGACCAAGAACUAUACUGUGCUCGGGCGCGUCCUUCAUCCAAACACAAAGGCAGAAGAAGAAAAAUACCCCCGUCGACCACUAAACUUCCUCACCUCGAAGAUCGGCGAGACCCUAUUUACGUCAAAACAUUUGUUGCAUUCCGAUGGACUGAUGCGUCCCAAGGUGACACGGCGAUGAGAAACCUCAAAGAGAAAAAACCGCAAAAGAAACAACAGCAAAAAAUCUCAUACAUUGGAUAUAAUAACACAAGGCGACACACACACCUUUGGUCGGACGGGUUAUUUUAUUCACACGGCACUCAUUUGAAGUAAGAAAGGAAAAAGAAAAACAAGAAAAGUUUAAAAGUUAUUGAAGAAUAAAGAUUGUUGAUGAGACAUCUAAAAAUGAAGGGGAAAAAAAAAAUUCGUGUCUCUCCCUGAGAACAGGAUAUACAUUGACGGAGUUCACGGACCGGUUUACUCUUCUUCUCAUUUGCAUACGUUUGAGAUCUAUAUGCCGGUUCUUCACCUAAUCAUUCGUCAAGAUGAGCUUCGGCAGAGGAAUAACUAGAGGCUAUAUGAAAAAAAUAAAUAAAUAAAUAAGAAUCAAGGUAAUGUCAGUUACACAGACGAUGAUAUGGGCUCGACAGUCGUUCUUCCAAGUAAUUUCACGGACAUAUUGGGGCGCCACGGCUUUUAUGGUGCACGACAAAAGCCAACCAGCCUAGCAGGACUUCGAAUCAGACACGCAGGAAAUGACCAAAUGGUCAAGUCAACUAGCGUCCUUGAAUCGAAGUUAUACAGCAGUUUGAAGACGUUGUAUGAAAAAACAACGAAAAGGUCCGUUAUUCAGACAACCGUCCGAGCCAUAGAGACAAGGCGGAUAGCAAGGACGUUGGAGUGCACUCACCUUUUUAUUGAAGUCGAAAGCAAAAAAAAAAAAA